AGCAACCGCGGUAAUUCCAGCUCCAAUAGCGUAUAUUAAAGUUGUUGCAGUUAAAAAGCUCGUAGUUGAACUUCAGGCCUGUCCAGACGGUCCGCCUUAAUUGGUGUGUACUGUCCUUGGGUGGGUCCUACCUUCUGGCGAAGCGGCAUGGCCUUAAUUGGUUGUGUCGGGGAACCAGGACUUUUACUGUGAAAAAAUUAGAGUGUUCAAAGCAGGCAAAUAUGCUCGAAUACAUUAGCAUGGAAUAAUGGAAUAGGACGAUGGUUCUAUUUUGUUGGUUCUAGGACCGUUGUAAUGAUUAAUAGGGAUAGUUGGGGGCAUUAGUAUUCAAUUGUCAGAGGUGAAAUUCUUGGAUUUAUUGAAGACUAACUACUGCGAAAGCAUUUGCCAAGGAUGUUUUCAUUAAUCAAGAACGAAAGUUAGGGGAUCGAAGACGAUCAGAUACCGUCGUAGUCUUAACCAUAAACUAUGCCGACUAGGAAUCGGGCGAUGUUGACAAAAUGACUCGCUCGGCACCUCAUG
rnacentral:misc_RNA from 1 species